UACUCUUUUAGUAUAAAUUAUUAUUCUUAAUUUCCACUUAAGAAAUCUCUAAAAAGAGAAAGAGUAG
rnacentral:tRNA from 1 species